rnacentral:rRNA from 1 species
ACAGCUCAAAUUUGAAAGCUAGCUCUUUUAGGGUUCGCAUUGUAAUUUGUAGAAGAUGCUUCGAGUGUGGCCCCGGUCUAAGUUCCUUGGAACAGGACGUCAUAGAGGGUGAGAAUCCCGUAUGUGACUGGCUGCCUCCGUUCAUGUGAAGCUCUUUCGACGAGUCGAGUUGUUUGGGAAUGCAGCUCAAAAUGGGUGGUAAAUUUCAUCUAAAGCUAAAUAUUGGCCAGAGACCGAUA